AACGAACGCUGGCGGCAUGCCUAACACAUGCAAGUCGAACGAGACCUUCGGGUCUAGUGGCGCACGGGUGCGUAACGCGUGGGAACCUGCCCUUAGGUUCGGAAUAACUCCCCGAAAGGGGUGCUAAUACCGGAUAAUGUCUUCGGACCAAAGAUUUAUCGCCUUUGGAUGGGCCCGCGUUGGAUUAGCUAGUUGGUAGGGUAAAAGCCUACCAAGGCGACGAUCCAUAGCUGGUCUGAGAGGAUGAUCAGCCACACUGGGACUGAGACACGGCCCAGACUCCGCCGGGGGGACGCAGGGGGGGAUAUUGGGCAAUGGGCGAAAGCCUUAUCCCCCUUUCCCGGGUGAGUGAAGAAGGCCUUGGGGUUGUAAGCCCUUUUCCCCGGGAUGGUAAUGACCGGACCUGGAGAAAAAGCCCCGGCUAACCCCGU
rnacentral:rRNA from 1 species